rnacentral:rRNA from 1 species
GACGAACGCUGGCGGCGUGCCUAAUACAUGCAAGUAGGACGCAGUUGCGAACGGGUGAGUCACGCGUAGGUAACUACCUAUUAGAGGGGGAUAACUAUUGGAAACGAUAGCUAAUACCGCAUACUAGUAGAUGGACCUGCGUUGUAUUCGCUAGUAGGUAGGGUAAUGGCAUACCGAGGCAACGAUACAGAGCCGACCUGAGAGGGUGAUCGGCGAAACUGGGACGGAGACAAGGGCCAGACGCCUACGGGAGGCAGCAGGAGGGAAGCUUAGGUAAUGGGGGGAACCCUGACCGAGCAACGCCGCGUGAGUGAAGAAGGUUGUCGGAUCGUAAAGCUCUGUUGUUAAGGAAGCGGUACUUAACCAGAAAGGGACGGCUAACUACGUGCCAGCAGCCGCGGUAAGUC